CCUACGGGAGGCAGCAGUGAGGAAUAUUGGUCAAUGGACGAGAGUCUGAACCAGCCAAGUAGCGUGAAGGAUGACUGCCCUAUGGGUUGUAAACUUCUUUUAUAUGGGAAUAAAAUGUUCCACGUGUGGGAUUUUGUAUGUACCAUAUGAAUAAGGAUCGGCUAACUCCGUGCCAGCAGCCGCGGUAAUACGGAGGAUCCGAGCGUUAUCCUGAUUUAUUGGGUUUAAAGGGAGCGUAGGUGGAUUGUUAAGUCAGUUGUGAAAGUUUGCGGCUCAACCGUAAAAUUGCAGUUGAAACUGGCAGUCUUGAGUACAGUAGAGGUGGGCGGAAUUCGUGGUGUAGCGGUGAAAUGCUUAGAUAUCACGAAGAACUCCGAUUGCGAAGGCAGUUCACUGGACUGCAACUGACACUGAGGCUCGAAAGUGUGGGUAUCAAACAGGAUUAGAUACCCGAGUAGUC
rnacentral:rRNA from 1 species